UACGUAGGGCGCAAGCGUUAUCCGGAAUUAUUGGGCGUAAAGAGCUCGUAGGCGGUUUGUCGCGUCUGCCGUGAAAGUCCGGGGCUCAACUCCGGAUCUGCGGUGGGUACGGGCAGACUAGAGUGAUGUAGGGGAGACUGGAAUUCCUGGUGUAGCGGUGAAAUGCGCAGAUAUCAGGAGGAACACCAGCAGCGAAGGCGGUGGUCUGGGCCGACAUUGACGCUGAGGAGCGAAAGCGUGGGGAGCGAACAGG
rnacentral:rRNA from 1 species